GAUGAAGAACGUAGCGAAAUGCGAUACGUAAUGUGAAUUGCAGAAUUCAGUGAAUCAUCGAAUCUUUGAACGCAUAUUGCGCUCUCUGGUAUUCCGGAGAGCAUGCUUGUUUGAGUAUCAGUAAACACCUCAACUUCCAUAUCUUUUUUGAAAUGGGAGUUGGACUUGAGUGAUCCCAACGCUUUUCCUCACCGAAAAGUGGCGGGUUACUUGAAAUGCAGGUGCAGCUGGACUUUUCUCUGAGAUAUAAUCAUAUCUAUUUAGUCUGCCUAAAAAACAGAUUAUUACCUUUGCUGCAGCUAACAUAAAGGAGAUUAGUUCUUGUGCUGACUGAUGCAGGAUUCACAAAGACAGGCUUCGGCCGACUUUGUAAACUCGAUCUCAAAUCAAGUAAGACUACCCGCUGAACUUAAGCAUAUCAAUAAGCGGAGGA
rnacentral:misc_RNA from 1 species